GACGUAGGUGGCGAACGUUAUCCGGAAUUAUUGGGCGUAAAGGGUGCGUAGAUGGCCUGAUAAGUUAGCAGUGGGAAAUCGAGGCUCAACCUCGUGGAAGCUGGUAAUACUGUCAGGCUCGAGUGCAGGAGAGGUUAACGGAACUCCAUGUGGAGCGGUAAAAUGUGUAGAUAUAUGGAAGAGCACCAAUAACGGCGAAGGCAGUUAACUAUUCUGUUACUGACAUUGAGGCACGAAAGCGUGGGGAGCAAAACGG
rnacentral:rRNA from 1 species